UGCCAGCAGCCGCGGUAAUACGGAGGGUGCAAGCGUUAUCCGGAUUUACUGGGUUUAAAGGGUGCGUAGGCGGGAUGAUAAGUUAGUGGUGAAAUCCUACAGCUCAACUGUAGAAUUGCCAUUGAUACUGUCAUCCUUGAGUAUAGUUGAGGUGGGCGGAAUGUGUCAUGUAGCGGUGAAAUGCAUAGAUAUGACACAGAACACCGAUUGCGAAGGCAGCUCACUAAACUAUCACUGACGCUGAGGCACGAAAGCGUGGGUAGCGAACAGGAUUAGAUA
rnacentral:rRNA from 1 species